rnacentral:misc_RNA from 1 species
GAUGAAGAACGCAGCGAAAUGCGAUAAGUAAUGUGAAUUGCAGAAUUCAGUGAAUCAUCGAAUCUUUGAACGCACAUUGCGCCCUCUGGUAUUCCGGGGGGCAUGCCUGUUCGAGCGUCAUUAUAACCACUCAAGCUCUCGCUUGGUAUUGGGGUUCGCGGUUCCGCGGCCCCUAAAAUCAGUGGCGGUGCCUGUCGGCUCUACGCGUAGUAAUACUCCUCGCGAUUGAGUCCGGUAGGUCUACUUGCCAGCAACCCCCAAUUUUUACAGGUUGACCUCGGAUCAGGUAGGGAUACCCGCUGAACUUAAGCAUAUCAAUAAGGGAGGA